GAUGAAGAACGUAGCGAAAUGCGAUAAGUAGUGUGAAUUGCAGAAUUCAGUGAAUCAUCGAAUCUUUGAACGCACAUUGCGCCCCUUGGUAUUCCAUGGGGCAUGCCUGUUCGAGCGUCAUUUGUACCUUCAAGCUCUGCUUGGUGUUGGGUGUUUGUCUCGCCUCUGCGUGUAGACUCGCCUCAAAACAAUUGGCAGCCGGCGUAUUGAUUUCGGAGCGCAGUACAUCUCGCGCUUUACACUCAUAACGACGACGUCCAAAAGUACAUUUUUACACUCUUGACCUCGGAUCAGGUAGGGAUACCCGCUGAACUUAAGCAUAUCAAUAAGCGGAGGA
rnacentral:misc_RNA from 1 species